GGGGGGGUAGCUCAGCUGGGAGAGCGCGUCGUUCGCAACGACGAGGUCGUGGGUUCGAUCCCCAUCCUCUCCACCA
rnacentral:tRNA from 2 species